CUUUUAGAGGGUAGUGGCGCACGGGUGCGUAACGCGUGGGAACCUGCCCUUAGGUUCGGAAUAACUCAUGAGAAAUUUGACCUAAUACCGGAUAAUGUCUUCGGACCAAAGUAUUUAUCGCCUUUGGAUGGGCCCGCGUAGGAUUAGAUAGUUGGUGGGGUAAUGGCCUACCAAGUCUACUAUCCUUAGCUGGUCUGAGAGGAUGAUCAGCCACACUGGGACUGAGACACGGCCCACACUCCUACGGGAGGCAACACUGGGGAAUAUUGGACAAUGGGCGAAAGCCUGAUCCAUCAAUGCCGCGUGAGUGAUGAAGGCCUUAGGGUUGUAAAGCUCUUUUACCAGGGAUGAUAAUGACAGUACCUGGAGAAUAAGCUCCGGCUAACUCCGUGCCAGCAGCCGAGGUCAUACGGAGGGAGCUAGCGUUGUUCGGAAUUACUGGGCGUAAAGCGCACGUAGGCGGCUUUUCAGGUCAGGGGUGAAAUCCCGGGGCUCAACCCCGGAACUGCCCUUGAAACUGGAUGGCUAGAAUACUGGAGAGGUGAGUGGAAUUCCGAGUGUAGAGGUGAAAUUCGUAGAUNUUCGGAAGAACACC
rnacentral:rRNA from 1 species